CAGCAUAGUUCCGAGGUCUUAUUGGCCAUCUCGAGUCCAUUGUAAUUAAUUCCUGAUGUGUGGUCCAAUCAAGGAUAGAGUAAUGCAUUAAAAGAUACAAAGUAUGCUUCAAUUCAUUAGAAUGCAAAGUUUCAGAGAAACUGUAAGCAUCAUAUUCUGAGGAGAAAUUUAAUUUGAACUUCCCAUUCCGACUAUACUUGCUACUUUAACUACGCAUUACGAUUUAGUUUCUCACAGUGCCUAUGGUAAGUUCAAAAUUAAUAUAAAUACCUUACUUGUUUUGAAAUACAAGUGUACAGGUCCAAUUAACAACAUACUCGUUCUUUAGACUAGCUAAAAUAAAACCACGCGCAAUCUUCAUUCAAUUCAAUUUCAAGCAAAUCCUCGGUAUUCGAAUGGUUUAGGCACCCUCCUUGCGCUGGUUCCAGGAUUGAAUCCUGCAUGGUUGCGCUGCUAUUUCGUCCUAGUUUUUACAAGUUUUUUAUCCUUUUGGGUUAAGUUAGGGUUAGGAUUAGGCUAGAUUUGGAGCUACAUUUUAGGAUUGCAGUUAUGAGGUCUAGGGUUAUGGUUUUAUAAGUACAGUAUAGACGUGCAUGGAACAGAAAGGUUCGGUGUCAAACUUGUAUCCACCAUGUGAACUGAAUAAUCAUUGAUACGACUAUUAUAAUUUAGCACUUAGAGUUUCGCUUAGUAUUUUUAGUAACACAAAAGCCUUUGUACAAUAUCUCGAUAUCAUACCUUGAUAUUUAGCGUCGUAAAGUUUUUUAGCACGAUAUAGUUGCGCCAUUUCUUGCUACAAAACGUCACAACCUUGCUACAAAACGUGACAAGAUUUUCGAGAGAAGUGUAAGUGCCGAGGAGGCUAGGCAAUAUUUUCGAACAUGAUUUAUGUCAUCACUUUACUUUCGUUUAGAAUGUUAAAAAAUAUGGCUUGGAAUAUGAAUAUUGUUUUGUCAGUUAUCCUCCUCUUCAGUUUAAUCAUUUACGUUCCAGCCAGGUAAUGAUAUCACAUCUUCUUUAUUUAAAAAUUCUAUCAAUCAGUCUUCUUCAUGGACAGGGUUGUUUGAAUUGUUCUUAAAAAUAGUUAAGACCACAAUAGCCAGUGAUAAACUACAUGAUGCUAAUUUGGUUAUUCAAUGCUACGUUUGUAACGUGAACUAUAUUACAGGAUGUCACUGACAAAAGUGACUUGGCACGUAAAUAAUCAGAAUUUAAUAAAACUGCCUAGCUCUUUCAGUUUUAAUUUGCUUCAAUGCUUCAUGACAUUCCAGCUUAGAUCGUCCAGUAUUAUAGGGUCAGUCGCUCAUGACUCGUUCUGUGAUACAACAGGGAAACCCAGAAUGUAACACGUAGCAAUCAUGCAUGCUGAUAGAAGCAGAACACAUUAUUUUAUUUGUCUAAUGUCAACUGCUUUUUGUAGAGUGCGGGUGCGGAGUUAAGAUCGUGUCCGAUUUUAAAUUUCAUGGUACAAUUUUAGUGAAUAUUGCAUAGAAUUAAUGUUGGUAUAUGUUCACAAGUAAUUUUCCGGCAGGAAUUCUCAGGAUAAUGAAUAUAUGAGCCAGCUAGCGUAUGUUAUUAAAACUAGUGACGUUUCGGCUUGCCUCACGGCAGAUUCUGACCAACAAUGGAAUUACAUAAUCCUUGUUAUUGUAAUUUUAUUGUUAAAUUAUGAAUAUGUCUUCAGUUCAGACGAAACCUCAUUUUUAAAAAUGACAUUUGUAUGUAUAUUUGGCAUGCAUGGGUAUUAUGAAAGCUUUAUACUGUGCUCAUAACACUAUGUAUGUCUUGACGCACCGUUUCAAUUCAAUUAUUAAGAAUCACAACUAAGCAUGCAAUUUCAGAAGAUCUGGAAAACAUACCAGGGUACCCUUUGGUUUUCAAAACGCUGUUUAUGCAGCUGUUUGAAACUAAUUAAAAAUUAUUUACAUUUUGCUAAACCGUCUGCAGCUGUAAUGAUAACAAACUAAAAUUUAAGAAAAACUAUUAAUUUAAUUGUUCAUGAUAAGCCUGUAAUGCAUAGCAUAUUACAAUAUCAAAUACUUCAGAGCAUAGAAAAAAUAAAACGUGAAAAAAAGGAUAAAACGCAGAAAGGAGAAAAUGAGGGAAAGGGAUAAACGCGAGAAAAGAGAUAAAACGCGGAGAAUGGGAUAAAACGGGAGAAAACGGAAAUUAUUAGCCUGCACUAAGAAUCUUAGGGACCGGUCAUUAUUUAUGGUGGGGGGUGGCACCGAAGAGAAAUGUUUUUUUGUGGGAAAAAUUUUGCUGACCCAACCAUUAAAAAGUCAAAAAAUUUGAUUACCCAGCCUCAAAUAUCAAUUAAAAAAUGAAUACCCACCCCUGGCCAAAACCUUUACAAAAGGAUACCAUUCAGUUGUCACACAUGUCCUUUUAAUUGCCACUUCUGUGACAUGGGUUUGAUAACGGCUUGUGAAAUUUUCUGCAAUCUAAAGUUUCAUAUUGUCUGCACUUGUAGUUUCUUUGGAGACACAAUUUGUCAAAUUGGAAAAUGAUGAAGAUAAUGACUUGAUUCACAUAUUAUAUUGACAUUGCCUUUUAGUCUCCAAUAUUUCAGUGAGUCAUGCUUUGGAAAUGACAAUAAUUCUUUAUUACCCAACACUUGAGUUGUUUUGUUUAUUACCCAACCCUUGAGUUGUUUUGCUUUUCAUUUACCCAACCUUUUACUUACUUAAAAUUUUGUUUACCCAACCCUUUUCUCUUCGGUGCCACCCCCCACCAUAAAUAAUGACCGGUCCCUUAUAACAUUUUAAGCUAGCGCUUUAACAUCCUCCCAGAAGGCGUAUAUAGCAUUUUUGCAACCAUAUAAACCUCGUUGCACCUUCGUCCGGCCUGUUGACGUUCUUAAUAACAGUAGUUCUUUAUAAUUUUGAAAGUGUAAAAUUUAAGACUGUUUCUUAACACGUCCGCGUACAAGAUUAUAGCCUUUCUGAAAGGAUUAGUGUCACACCAGGAAUUCGCGGGCUCAAACUCCUGCUGGCGGCCAUUUUUCGGGACGAAUAGAUUAGAUGAUCUGGAAAGUGUUUAUAAACAUAUAUGUCCGUCAUAUAUUUAAACCAUCCUUUUAUUAACCUUGCCCUUUUUGUCUGAUUUUUAUCAGAUAUGUACCAAACGUAAUUUUAUCGCUAUUUGUUGCAUUUGAGUAAAAUGUAAACAAUAAUAAAAGCCCGCAAUGCAUGACCCUGACACUAAUCCUUUAAGUUCGUUAAUAACACGCUCAAACGGCUGAUUCGCAAAUCGCAAGGCCCAUGGGUCUAACUUAACAUUGUAAUAAAAGUGAUACUAUAUAAAUACCAUUGGAGGUCUAGGGCCGGUUGUAUAAAACUCUUAGUCACUUUUUUAAUCACUAUUUUGUAGUUAAAUAGUGAUUAACUCUCAAAUACGCGCUUCUUAUUGGAGGAUGUUUCCACUAACUAUAGUUAACUUUAAUAACUAUUUUAUACAACCGGCUCCUGAUGUUUAAACCGAUUAACAAAAGCAGAAAUAAUUGUCAAAUCCCAAAACAUUCACCAUUUGGCGACAACACGACCAGACAAUACACAUGAGACAUUCGAACGCGCAGUUCUCGCGCGAAAGGAUAAGCUAACGCGUAUAGAGGACUCUGGGUAAAGGCGCAGCAAUUUGAACUUUGAUCCUUUGAAUAAAUAAAUAAAUAAAUAAAUAAAUAGGCCUGAUACAAACCUUAACAAAAGUGCAUGCCUUAUAACCGUAUUUCGUUUGCAAAUCUGAUUGGUCUAUGAGACAAAAGAUUUUGAAUAUCCGUCAUUUGAGUGGUUGGUGCUAGUUAGAUUAUACUGUUAUUGAUGACAUAUUUUAUAGUGAUCACAACUAUAAUUAGAUUGUUGUUGUCGUUGUGUGAAAUUUAAAUUUCUGCUGCGACAUUUUGAUUGGAUACUAAAUAUUAGACUUGGUUCAAGUCCGUCUCAGGAGAAAAUUAGGGAGAGACGGACUUGGAACAUUCGCAGCAUUUCGAAUGUUACUUGCAAAAAUUGGAGAAAAUUUGUUGUUGUUCUCAACUGCCAAGCCACGCCUCCGUAGGAAAAAUCCGACGGUAAAUUUGGCCCGCUUGCAGGGUAUCCAAGUCCGUCUCUCCUAACCUGCGAUCAGGUUCUAUUUUACAAAUAAUAGCCUGACACAAUCCUUAAUCCGAUCACUUUCCACCCACGGCAAAGUUUAUAUUUAGUAUCCAAUCAAAAUAUCACAGGAGAAAUUUAAAUUUCACACAACGACAACAACAAUCUAAUUAUAGUUGUGAUCACUAUAAAUAUAUCAACGACAAUAUAUAAUGUAAUUAUCACCAACCAAUCAAAUGACAGAUUAAAAUGUCUUUUGUCUCAUAAACUAAUCAGAUUUACAACCGAAAUACGGUUGUAAAAACAUGGACUUUUGUUAAGAUUUGUAUCAGGCCUAUUUAUUUAUUUAUAGGCCCGAUCGCAGGUUAGUCUCUUCGUACGUUUCUUUCAUAUUUUCGCGCCUUUUUUUGACCGCUCGCGUGCAUGCAAUCGCUAUUUUCAACCCCUUGAGAGACGGACUUGAACCAAGUCUAAGUGUCUAACUAAAUAUAAACUUUGCUGUGGGUGGAAAGCUAUCGGAUUAUGGUUUGUGUCAGGCUAUAAUUAUUUGUAAAAUAGAGCCUUAUCUCAGGUAAUUGGCAGUUUGACUUUGGAACAAAGGGCUUAUAUAUAUGGCGUUCCAUCGCCGCCAAAAAUCAAUGUUACUAAGGGACCGGUCAUUAUUUAUGGCGGGGGGUGGCACCGAAGAGAAAUGUUUUCCGUGUCAAAAAUUUUGCUGACCCAACCAUUAAAAAGACAAAAAUUUGAUUACCCAACCUCAAAUAUCAAUUAAAAAAUAACUACCCACCCCUGGCCAAAAACUUAACAAAAGGAUACCAUUCAGUUGUCAUACAUGUCCUUUAUCACUUCAGUGACAUGAGUUUGAUAAUGGCUUGUGAAAUUUUCUGCAGUCUAAAGUUUCAUGUUGUCUGCACAUGUACUUUCUUUGGAAACACAAUUUGUUUUGUCGAACUAUGGUGAAGAUAGUGACUCUGAUUGAUUCACAUAUAGUAUGGACAAAUGACUGUUGACAUUGCUUUUCAGUCUCCAAUAUUUCAGUGGGUCAUGCUUUGGAAAUGACAAUAAAUUUUUAUUACCCAACCCUUGAGUUGUUUUGUUUUUCAUUUACCCAACCUUUUACUUACUCAAAAUUUUGUUUACCCAACCUUUUUCUCUUCGGUGCCACCCCCCGCCAUAAAUAAUGACCGGUCCCUAAUCAACAACCAAUGUUGCACUCAACAAUCAAUAUUGGGCAACAACAUUCAAAUCCACUCUUCAACUUUCAACCGAGCACAAUUUCCUACUAUUGUAAUUUCAGAACUCAACAUCUAACUUUAAAGCACCCAACAAUGAAUAUUGAAAAACUUCGACAACGACAAAUUUUUGUUCUUUGAAAUUAUGAAUGUUGAUGCUUGCAAUGUUCAUGUUUGAAAUGUUGAUGUUUGAAAUGUUGAUCGAUGUUUGUAAAAUGUUGAUGUUUGUAAAACGUUGAUGCUUGUAAGAUGUUGAUGCUUGUAAAAUGUUGGUGCUUGUAAAAUGUUGAUGUUUGUAAAAUGUUGAUAUUUGUAAAAUGUUGAUGUUUGUAUAAAAUGUUGAUGUUUGUAAAAUGUUGAUGCUUGCAAUGUUGAUACUUGGCCAACGCGUACCAAAGCCGCCAAAAAGUAUCGGGUUUCAAAAUGACGUCAUUCGUUAUCACAUGCUCGUGGCGUCGUUCAGUCGUGCCAGCUGAUCGUGCAGUGCUUCGUUUACUUAAUCGUUUUGUGGUUUUGCUUCUUUGGCUUUUUCUUCAGAUAUUAUAUCAAGCGCGUGCGUAAUAUUGUAUAAUAUGCAACAAGAACUGAAAUCGGUGAAAGAUACGCUUCUUCAAGUUGCGACUCGGCUGGAAAGAAUGGAAAGUCCUCGCGGUAGGUGAAAUUAAUUCUCACUAAUACAUUUUAAUAGUACGAGCCAAUUAUCAUGCUAUAUUGGGGGAGGGCGAGGAACGCCUGAGGCAUGAGAGCGUGUUGGGGGAUCUGGUGGAAUGCACCCCGGGGAAGAAAUUUUGAAAUCUAAAUCCCUGAAAUGCGAUUUCAAGUUAGCAUUUUGAGGGUGAAAUCUUGCAGAAUUCCGAAGAUUAUAAAGUAGCCUACAUCGAAGACAUAAAUUUUCCCAAACAUAUCUACUCGGCAUUAAAUAAAUUGGAAAAACUACCUUGAAAAACAGGAGGAGGGGUUAGUGUCACUUUAUUUCCCCUCGGUGAUGCUGGGGGGGGGAGAAAAUCCCAAUGUAAUUUGAUCCGAAAUGUUGCAUUUAAAUCAUUCUAGGUUCUAUAAAACACCAUUUCCGCAUUCUCAAAAUUGCGUUACUUUUUUAUACGAUACAGAAGAAUAUUCGUGCUAUGAUAACUGCUAUGCAUAAAUGUAAAUCCAAACUACCACGCCACUGUGCUAAACCUUAAUUUUACUCGGCCCCAUGCGAUUACCUAUACCAAUUUCUUUCUUGCUAGUUUAAGUAGACAAUUCUGAAUUUUGCAAAACAAGUUAGAGGUCAACGUGAGGAUCAAAGGACUAUCUCCGUCAGAAGUCUAUCUUAACGAAUUGACAACAGAAUAUUCUCCUGCAUCUAUGUUGAUCAAACACAAUGAGGACAGUGUCAGUGAUGUCGGAAGAUCCCCUGGGAUUUAUAGCUUCUACAUGAUUGUGUAGGUAGUUAUAGUUUUUGUAACCUCUUUUCGGGAUGAUCAAUUAAAUAUUUUCAUUCUCUCAUUCUCAUUACAUUAAAUCCCAAAUUCCAAAUAAUUAUCUUAAUCUGAUUGAAUCAAGUGCCAUACCUUUUCUGUUAUAGCAUCCCAAUAUUUUUGCCACAUGGUGAAGAGUUGCUGACUGCAAUAGUGUAACAAAUAGUGAUGUAUCAGUUCAGUUGUAUUCUUAAAAUAUGUAAAUAAAUGCAGAAAACUACAUCAUCAUGUACAGUAUUUAAUAUAAAGAAAAUAAUUGUUAUAAUGUUUCGUUGGUGCAAAAUUCUGCUUGUUUUUUCAUCUUUUCUACCCAUGCGCACGCAUAUAGCUUUGGAUUAACUGUUAAUUCCCAAAUAGUAGAAAUCGAGAGCUACAUGUAUAUAGAUUUGAGUACGAGACUUACCGGACCCCCGACUGAACAUUAUUGUACCCGAACCAACAACCAGCCCAAACUUUGAGUCCUUAGGGUCAAUAGGCCAACAGGGCAAAAUCAAUGGUACAUCGGCUCCGGCUUAGACACAGUCACAUAAAUAGACCAGUUUAUGGGCCAGAACCCACUUCCGCAAUGAAAGGAUAAAGACCGGGCCAAGUUCCAUGUUAUUUCGCCGCCGUUCACUCGCUUCGCUUGCUUGCUUCGCCCUAGCGCUGCUUGGCGCCUUGUCUUUCACUUCACUUGCUGCUUACUGCCCCCCCCCACCGAGCCCUCCGCGGUAACACCCAUUUUCCCAUGCGGAUCGACUCAGCUCGCUUCCCCUGCUCGACGUUCGCUUGGGCCACGCUGAUGCUUCAUUCACUUAUAUUUACUGAUUAUAUAGUAGAGAGUGAGAUACUGAAAAAUACACAGUGAGAUAUUUACCUUAUCUUCACUAGCGAAGAUAUCGAUCACGUGACUUUUUCCAAUUUGCUUUUCAGCAUGAAAUUUCACAAUUUUUUGCUUGGAACUACAGUAUAUAAUAAACAGAACAUUAUACAGUGGCUUGGAGAUAUGACUUUUAUCUUCUCGUGUUAAAAACCAUAUUUUACUCACUCGCUGCGCUCGUUCGUACAAUAGAGAGUUUGAGCAAGAGAACGAAGUCGGACGACGACGACGUGUUGACAAUUUUUUCCUGCCUUGAACAUUAUCUUGCGUAUUUUAAGUUUAGGGUCAGGAGUGAAGACAGAUUAGAGAUUCACGCGUCUAGCUGUUUAUCAAUGUUGACCCAAAUCCUUACCCUGAUCAGGAUAAAACAGCGAGACAUGAAUCCAUAUCCCGUCUUCGUUCUUCUGCCUUCGUUCACAACGAAUAUUUUGGCGAAAUUCGUUGUUAACUUCGUUCCGAACGAAGGCACAAGAACAAAGACGGGAUAUAUAGGUUCAUGUCUCGCUGUUUAUUCUGGAUCAGGGCAAGAAUUAUGGUCAGUACUGUCAGUAUUCAUAAACAACGACACAUAGGACACGUUGAGCAAACACCAGUGACGUCCAACACAGUAUGCACAAGAGAAUGUGCAGACGACAAAAAUUGUCAAGUAUGCCUUCGUCUUCGUACUUCGUUGUCUUGCUCAAACUCUCUAAUAUCAUCUUCACUACUCGAAGAUAAAAGUCAUAUCUUCGUGCCGCCGUGUAAUAUCCUCUCUAUAUAGCACCACUAGCCUGAGGUGAUAAUUCCUCGUGCAAGGACGGCAUCGUAUGGCAUUAAUGGUCAUAAUAUAAAAAGGUUAUAAUUAAAGUGUACUUGUCUUUUUCAUAUAGCACUGUGGACUUUAACAACGUAUGCAAUAAAAUCUGGUCUCAGGACAAGAAUCGUGUAUUCCUUAAUCGCCAUUAUCGAGUCAGUCUUCAGGGACGUAUUUAUGAUGCAUCAUCUGACACAGACAGAGCUUACUCGCCACUAUUCUCUUACGUUGAUCGAAAUGUCCUUAAUAGGCCAACUUUCAAGUCUUUUACUG